rnacentral:lncRNA from 1 species
GGCCUGAGUCUAUUAGGGUCUCCAAGAAAAAUUGGGAUAGUUCCUCCAACCUGAAUUAUAUGUGUUUAAGAAUGGAUCAUUUAUAGGAUUGGAGUAACUUUGAGUAGCUUGAACUUGUUCUAGGAUGAAAGGUGAAAAUUGUGCAGUCGUGGGACAUUCACUCACAUGAUGGGCUAGGCUAAAAUAAAUAGAACAAAUAUCUUGAUAAUUGGGAGGUGGUGUAUAUUGCAUAGGAGAUUGUUGAUUUAGGGCUAGAAAUUUAUCUAUAAGAAG